AAGGUCCAGCUGCAGCAGUCUGGAACUGAGUUUGGGAGGUCUGGAGCCUCAGAGAAGUAGUCCUGCAAGUCUUCUGGUUACAAAUUCACCAACUAUUAUAUGCACCGGAUAGGGCAGAAUCGUGGAAAUAGCCUAGACUAGAUUGGAUAUAUUUAUCGUGGAAUUGGCCAUCCUGGCUAUGCCCACAACUUCAGGGAUAAGACCACACUGACUUCAGACAAAUCCUCUAGCACAGCCUACAUGGAAUUUCACAUCCAUUACUCCAGGAAUCUUCUUGGGGUAUCUCCCCAUGACGUAACUCA